AGGAGCUGCCGCGUGUCUUCCGGGAAGAGGCUCAAAAACGGCCGUCGAACUGCUGUAGAUGAAAGGUCCAAGCUGUGCAGGCCGUGCAGGUGGUGAGCGAUCACGUCUGCUGCGCGAUCAGUGAGCUCCCACGCCAUCAUGAGGUUCAGUUCCCGCAGGCGACCGGGGACCGGCAGUGCUUGACAGAGCUGGGUAACGCUGCGAUCCGUGAGCAUAGGCCAGUGCGCGAGACGCAAGGUCUCUAAGGACGGUGCCCGUCGGGCAAGAUGAAGUACCAGGGCGACGCUUGGAGGGUUCUGCUCGGGCAGCCCAGAUGCAGGUGCUGUAUCGCGGGGCACGGACUCGUCGAGAAACGACACGAAUGACCAGUCCAAGUGGCGCAGUCGGAGCGUUGGCAGGCGCUCCACCAGGGGGCCGUCCAGCGCCAGCGAACAACCGUGCGCAACAAAGACCUCGAGCCCCGGAAAACCGACACCGUGCGAGUUGCACGCUUCUUGCAACACCGUCGUCGAGAUGCGCAAACCGGGGUGCUCGGCAACGUUCAAAACUCGCAGAGGCAACCGCAGCAGAUGUGCGAAGAUUUCGGGGUGAUGGAGACAACCGCUUCCGGGUGUCGCGCGAAUAUCGAGCUCUUCUAGCAUCGGCGGGAGCGCACUGAGCAUCAACUCGUUUGUCAGUGCCUGUGGGUUGAGUUCCGCGAGUCGCAGGACUCGCAAAUGUGAGAGUGCCGGCGAGUGCAACGCAUUCCCCAAGCCCGCAGCGGUAAGGCGCCAGCAGCCGCUGAGAUCCAAGAUGCGAACGGGGCUUCGUUGCAAAUGCAGGCGACAGAUGAGCUGCUCCACACGUUGCACCAGGUUCAGGAGGACGUCGUCGCUUAUCAGGUCGCAGCUGCCGCUAAGAUCCAGCACUCGCCAAAGUGCUGGGGUGUCCUCAACGACCGCACGCCAGGUGCGGCUCACUUGACGGAGGCGGAGCAGCUCGGGAAACGACAAGUACGUGAACAAGUGCCGCAGGAUAUCGCGAGCGCUCGCCGCAUCACCGAGCGCGUUGACCGGGUGCACACGAGCGCCCGGACGAGCGCGCGGUACAACGAAGCUUGCCUCGUUGGACGACACCCCGUCGGUAUGGGACGCUUUCCCAAGCAAUUCCGGGAAUGCCGAGGAUGUUGUCUCGAGCGACAUGCGGAAAGCAACCGGUUUGGCAACGUCCGCGCCAGCGAUUCGCUGACGUUUGGGCGUUGGAGAGCAGGAGUCAUCAGGGAUCUUGUUCCAUCUUUCGGCGGGUGUUAGCGGCGAAAGAGACGUCCGAUGCUGUGCCGCCUCGGUCCAGGAUAGCGCACGAGCUUGAAGAUUCAUAACAAUCGAACUCAGCUCCUCGAUGCAUUCGUGAAAAGUCACCUCCGGAUAGGCCGGCUGAAUGAGUUCCCUCAAAAGUGGUUGAUUCUCUGCCCAGUAGAGCGCCUGCAGAAUCUGGGCAAUGUGUUUGGCGUCCGAUGCGGAAAGCACGCUGGCUUGGCAAAGCGAUUGGGCAAGGACAGCGCCGAGCGAGAGACUGUCUCCGACGUGUGCCGCUGUGGGCGAACCGCAUUCCUGGACUGUGCGAUAGAGAUUACAGAGUUCCAGCAGAUACGCUCCGGUGCGCUGGAUGUGAGCGUGAUCGUGCGAACUCGUUUGGUGCUGGGCAGCGCGCCAGGCGAGCAAGAAGCCGUCCCAUUCGGUUGGCCAUGCGAACGAAAAUCCCAGCACGUCGGCACACCAGAGUUCCACGUAGAAGAGGUCUCGCCACUCAAACUGUAGCGCAAAGAAGCGAGCGAGCUCCUCAGUGCCGGGGUUUGUCACCUCAUUGUACUUAAUGGCGAGCAUGGUAGCACCUACAGCAAGCCAGUCGGUGCGUUGCAAGCGGUGUCGUCGAGAUGUGGGGAAGCGAACAAAAGGUUCCCGCUGACUGGAGCAGAUGAUGUCGAAAUAGCUCCACGCGAGGUGCAGCGUCCGGGGCGAGAGCGCAUGUUCGUGGAUGAAUGCAGCCAUGAGACAUUUGCAACGCAGCAGGUCUGGCACACACGGCGCUGAGCUGAGACGCGAAUGCCCGCGAGGCACAUGUCCAUAAAAGGGCUGCACGGCGGUUUUGAUGGAAGCAGAGAGCGCCGCAGCGUUCGGACGCUCCGACUGAGGCAAACUCAGAUGUUUCAGAAGGUUGAACGCGCGCUCCCAAUGCUGCCAGGGUAUCUUAGGAUGACGCGUUACACCAUCGCUCUUGGAUGGCGUUGUCAUUGCAGAGAGAUUUUCUUUGGAUUCGGCUGCGUACUCACAUAGACGCUGAAUCCGCUGCUGUUGUAUGCGAAGGUGCGCCAGCGCUUCGCCACGACAGCAUCCUGCACUGAGACGAUCACCAACAACUGCAAGAUAGGGAUGCUCCAGCGCCUCCAUGGCGCUCAGACGCUUGGUCGGAUUUGGAUGCAGGAGGCGCCGCAUCAAGUCGAGCCCAUCAGAGCCGAAACACUUUUCAAAACGAGCCCGCAACGGACUGUUGGUGCUCAGGGCGGCUUCGAUGCGCGGGACCUGCAGUCCAUUGCCGAAAUGCGGCAGCCUGCUGGCUUCUGGCUGGCUAUGCCAGCCGUCAUCUAGCGGGCCACCAACGGCCUCCGCGAUAAGACGCAGCUGGUCCACUUCGCUUUGCCCACGAAAUAGGGCCCGCUCAUCCUCGUUGGCAUCGUGCACAUUGGCAACUUCCGCAAUGACGCAGGCCGCAGCCCAUAGAUCAGCAGCCGCGCUGUAUCGACGGGAUCCCAGGAGCAGUUCGGGUGCACGGUACCACAAAGUGGCUACGACCGGCGUUAGGGCUUCAAAUGUGCUUCUGCUGCUGUUUCGAUGAAGCGAAUCGCCAUCGCUGGCGUCUCCUGUCGGCUCAUAUACUUGAAGGGGCGCCUCGCGGCCGAGAGAGAAGUUGAUGAGCGCAAAUGUCUCGUGCACCGCGCACGAGCAGGACUCGUGUUUCCCUGUCUGCAUCGCGACAAUAUUCUGUGGGCGCACAUCACGAUGUACAAAUCCCUGCGUAUGACAAAACGCGAAAGCCAAUACGAGAUCAAAAGCGAAGAACCGUGUUCGCUCAAGGUCAAAGGACUGCUUGUACCAAUCAUAGCGAGCGUUAGCGUAGAAAAGCGUGAGCUUCACGCUUCCAUUGGCUCGAUCGAGUGAUCGAUGCUGCCUCGGCUCAAGAAGGAGGUAUCCGCUUUUCUGUUGCAGGUGAUAAGAAGGCACAUCGAGUCGUACUUCGAUCAAUGGGCACACAAAAUGGUGAAACAGCGGAGUCUGAGCAGCCAACCAGAGCGCGAUACCGGCUUCGCGAACUUGCUUGUAGCUUAGUCCGUACUCGUCAUCGUACGCGACCUGAUACACAUCAUCGGUGCUCUCACCAUCUGUGUUGUUCGGUGAAGGAGGCAGCGGAAUAUACACUUGACGAGUCAUGAGUGUCGCAUCGGUUCGCGAACCCGAGGCGUAUACAUUUUGGACGUAAACCGGAAACGAGAAGCACCG
rnacentral:misc_RNA from 1 species